UACGUAGGUGGCGAGCGUUGUCCGGAUUUACUGGGCGUAAAGAGCGUGUAGGCGGCCUGGUAGGUCUGCUGUGAAAACUCGAGGCUCAACCUCGAGAUGUCGGCGGAAACCAUCUGGCUAGAGUCCGGAAGAGGAGAGUGGAAUUCCUGGUGUAGCGGUGAAAUGCGCAGAUAUCGAGAGGAACACCUGCGGCGAAGGCGGGUUGCUGGGCUGACACUGACGCUGAAGUGCGAAAGCUAGGGGAGCGAACGGG
rnacentral:rRNA from 1 species